GACAUGUUAUACACUUUCUCUCCUCUCUCGUUUGAUUAGAAAUAUUAGUUAGAAAAUAGUCCCAGCUAAUCGAUUUCUCUUUCUCCAACACCAUCAUCGAUUUCUCUUUUACGAGACGAAGAAGAAGGAGAUCCUUACUCUCCUCUACCGAACUCCCUCUUCCCUUAAUUUGAUGGGUUCUUAAUUUUACUCUUCAAUUUAGAUUUAUUCUUUGUUGAAUUUAUUGUCUUUGUUUUUGAAUUAAAAAUGUUUGGAUGUCAUUUGCGUAGACGAGAAUGAAGACUUCGUUGAUGAACUCUUCUAGCUUGUCUUCGUCAAAGAGUGAUGCUAACUAAACAUCAAAGAGAGACAUAUGUGUUCUACUCUCUAUCCUAACUCUGUUCAUCAAUGGCCCUUUGAUAACGACAGCUCAAUCUCCAUCUUCGUCUUCUUCAACUUCAUGUAAUCGAAUCUGUGGAGGUAUCGAGAUUCUUUUUCCUUUUGGAAUCGGAUGACGAGACUGUUAUCUCAACGACUGGUACGAGGUUGUCUGUAACACCACCACCUCUGGCUUCUCAAUAAAUCCUACCCCCUUACGUACCAAGAGAGAGAAAGAAAGUGUCGAAGUGGAGAGAAAAAACAGUGGUGUUUGGUGAUUACGUAAUUGAAAGGACCAAUGGCAACGGUUCCAAUUUAGACGAGUGUGAUGAUGGUGGGAUCGAUGCUGCACUUGGUAGGAAUCUUGUGAAUGUUUUCCUUCUGUUAUCCAUUUGAUCGUCUGCUUAAGCAUAUGGUAGGUAAGGUGGCUCCUGGAUUUCAAGAUAGGUUUACGAAAAAACACAAAAAUGCAUAUCCAUUUAUUUGCCGCUACAUGGAUAUUUCAUCAAUUUCUUACACUAUAUCCAUUUGUUCGAUGUUACAUGGAUACACCUCCACUCCUAAAUGUCAUAUAUGAAUUGAUACACCUCCACUUCUAAAUGUCAUAUAUGAAGACGUACUUGCGGAUUGUCAACCAUAGAAAUCUGUCCAUUCUCCUUCAAAAAUAUGUUCGCCAACUUAUGAAAUGUGCUUGUAUUUGAUUUUGGUGAAUUAUGUUUAGAUUUGGUGUUA